UACGGGGGGGGCAAGCGUUGUUCGGAAUUACUGGGCGUAAAGGGCUCGUAGGCGGCCAACUAAGUCGGAUGUGAAAUCCCCAGGCUUAACCUGGGAACUGCAUCCGAUACUGGAUGGCUUGAAUCCGGGAGAGGGAUGCAGAAUUCCAGGUGUAGCGGUGAAAUGCGUAGAUAUCUGGAGGAAUACCGGUGGCGAAGGCGGCAUCCUGGACCGGCAUUGACGCUGAUGAGCGAAAGCUAGGGGGAGCAAACGGGG
rnacentral:rRNA from 1 species